UCGUUCCAGACACAGAUUCCUCAGUGACCUUGGUGUAGAAGAUACUCUGGUCCUGACAGCCAGGUCUUAUUCUUGAGGAACACAUCUGCCUUCAACCCUCUGGAGGCCACAUCCGCAGGAUUGCUCGUGGUGCUUACAUACCUCCAUUGAGAUGCCUGAGACACUUUAAGGAUUUCUGAAACUCUAUUAGCAACAAAGGUACGGAACCUUGAGGUUUCAUUCUUUAUGUACUUUAGCACCAACGUGCUAUC